CCAGGAAGGCGUCCGACAGCACCACGAUGAGGCGUCGGCAGCGGCUCAGGUUCACCAGGAGGUCGGCGGAAGGCUCUGCGAAGAGCCGGCUGAGGAGCACUAGCAGGAGUCAGAGAAGACAGCCUCAUCUUGUGGUGCGGUUCCCCAGCCACCCACCUCUCCCUGCCCCGCGCCGGACUGCACCCACCCCCACCAGCCUGAAGGAAGGCGCCGCUGCAGCCGGACCAUCUUGAUGGCGUCCAGGCGGAUCUCCACGAUGUUGCUGAAGAAGGCGAGCAGCGGGGCCAGCGGGAAGGCAGCCACGAAGAUGGUGGUGAAACCGUACUGGAUCACUGCGCAGGGAGGGCGGGGCGCUGCCCUGAGCUCGGGCCCCAGGCCCCAGCCCCCUCCCCACAGAGCACCCCCCCCCACGCACUCAUCUCCAUGAACUCGUCAAACAGGCUGAAGGUGUUCACCCGGUUCAGGCGGUAGUUGCGCUGCCAGCCCCUCAGCUCGGGGUCUUCGGACUCCCAGCCCCGCAUGGAGCGGUACUUGAGAGUCAGCCACCUGGGGGAGACAAGAACCAGGAGUCAGGCUCCAGAGGCACCCCUGCUGCAGCUGGUGACAGCUCUCAUUUGACACAGUUCCCAUCGGUAUAAAGUUACAAAGAAAAGAAGUUACAGAGUUUACAAUGGUUACAAAGUUACGAAGAAAAAAAGCCAUUCUUUCAAGAAAUGUGGCUGUGUCCCUAGAAAACCAAAGUAAACCAGCGGAAAGGCUGGAUAAGUGACCUGACAGGCGCUGAGAGUAGGCUCGCGAGGGUCCCUGGACGCCUGUGGGAGCCAGGGCAGGAGGCGGCCGCAGACACCUCCCAGGGUUGUUGCCCAAGGACGAACAAAGUUGCACCUGUGGGCCCCACGUGGCGAGGCCUGAAACUACUCACAAACGUUAACAAAAACGUGCUCUCCAGUCGGAAGCCCCGGGCCGUGUUUCGUGGUAGACAGAAGGAUGCCCCACCCCCUAAGGGCAUCCAGGUCCUCAUCCCUGGAGCCUGUGAGGGUCCUCUCAGAAGGUGGCAUUAAGGUUGCUAUCGGCUGACUUAAAAGGGGGCCGUUAUCCAGGACCAUCGGGUGUGCCCAAAGCCGCUGGCUUCGCGGGCGGAGCAGGAAGGGGCCCCUGGAAGCUGAAGGCAGCAGAAGAGGACCCUGCCCUCUCCGGGGCUGCCAGACAGAAUCGGCCCCGCAGCACCUUGACGGGAGCCCGGGAAGCCCGCAGACCUGCACGCUAACGAACUGCUGCUCAGAGCCGCUCGGCAGGGGUCGCUCGUGAUGGCAGCAGGGAACAUGAACCCGCGUGGGCCCCCCUACAACAGUGUGGGAGCUUCCUGCAGCCCGAAACCAAAUCCCACAGAGUGUCCAUGUGUGGUCUGCCAGAAUGACCCUAAAAUUUGGCUAAAAUAAAAAACCAGGUAAUUACCCAUAAGAAAAAGGGAAAAGCAAGCCAGAAAAGCAGGGAACGCUGGCCCAUCUGGCAGUGAAGCCCCAAACACUCGGUGUGGCGUCACAACUAAUCUUAAAGAAGCAGACAGAACCCAGGGGCCAACAGCCAGGGCCUGGGCAUCUGGAAACAAGGACACGGCCCCCUCCUCCACCCUCCCGCUCCAUGAGCGCCUCAUGCCCCAAAGACUUGCUGUUGCAAAUGCUGAAACUGUGCACAUCCCAAGGACAUCACAGCUGGACAAGUUUUUGAUCGGGGCAGGGGGUGGCUUUUUGAGGGCAGCCCGAAAAAGGACACCGUAAAGAACCACAGGGACAAAAACGGCAACAUGAAAGAAACAUUGCCUUUGGGAUGACGCGGCGGCUGGACACCCUUUCACCCCCCUGCCGGGAGACCCCACUCACACGGAGGCACAGCGUGGGAAGGGCCGGCGGCCCACCUGCCGACCGGGUGGCCCAGAGGUGGUUUUUAACCUCUGGAACAGGGUCGCCUCACCGGUAAAGGAGGCUAAGAGUCCCCACCCAGCACAGCUGUCGUGCCGGCUGGAGUGCGUGCGAGCGACCUCGGAGUGGGUGGGGGUCCUAAAAUGACCAGAAGAAGCAAGUCAGCCCUUCGCCUGCCCCCGAAGGGGGAGCGGGGCCCCGCAGGCGCAGCUGGGCAGAAGACAGGGGCCCGGCCAAGACACAGGUGACGAAGCCGAGGGAGCAGACCACUGGGAACAGUGAACUUCAAUGGGAAAAACCACUGAUAUCCUCAAGGACACACUGCGUCUAUAAAAACAAAAAAAGGAGGCGACAAGGAAAACGGGGGAAAAGAACUCUUGGAAAUGAAGGUUGUUAAAACACAUAGAAAGGCACAAAGAUAAGGUGAAGGAAAAGUCAGCUGUAACUGAAAAAAAAAAAAUGAAGGAAAUCUAUCCUGCUAUCGACUCCAAGGACCGAUGGGGCGUGUGAGAGAAAAGAUAAAAAACCCAAGAGGACCAGAGUUCUGCAAAGACAGAGCAGAGGGGAAAGAAUGUUUCAACCCAAGGAAAAGAUUAAAAAUGAAAUGUGGCCACAACAGGGUUGGGGUUGGGAAGGACCCAGCUGCCUACCGCACGAGGAGAAGAGCCCUAAACUGCCCCCCAGUUGGAAGAGGGGAUCCUAGACUUCCGGAAGGAAGAGAACAGAGUCCGCUGGGAAGGAACAAGAGCCCCUCCCGCAGCUCCCUCGGCACCCAUUCCGCGGGGCAGCGGCGGCUCCUGUGCCUGAAGGGAAGCCCUGCCGGGCGGGACCUGCUGGAGGGGCAGGUGCUGUCGGGGCCUCUCCAGGCUCACGGGGACUCGGAAAACCCCUCAGACUCACUUCCUUUGUCAAAUGAAUGCCAGGACCGAGGGGAGGAGAGCGUGGGACCCCGGAGAUGGCGGUCCCAGCCCAGGGGCACGAGAGGCCCACCCAGCCAGUGCCCGGUGUGGGGGGUGCUCAGCUCCCGGGGAGGUGUCUGGGGGGAGAGGCACCCAUGUCACAGAUGGUGUGACAGCAAGAGGCCUGUGGGCCAGACCUGACAGGCGUGCAGAGAAUGAAGGGCAACCAGAAAGCACAGGGGCAGACAGACAGCCAGGCAGCAGAGGAUCAGGUGUGGAGCAGAGCGAACCACGCGGCAGUUUUAGCCCGAGUCCAGCGAGAGGGAGCCGCUCGGCAGUGACGCCACACAGACCAGCAACCGGGCGCAGACGAGCAGCGUGUAGGAAAGGAACUGUAACAGUAGGUAUCUGUGCAGGUGUAAAAAGAAAAAACAGAGAGAAAAGGGAGAAAAAGAGUAAGUAUCUGGGAAGAGGUUCAGCUGCAGCCGUCAGGCGAACCUCGGUGGACACCGCAGGCCCCCCGGGAGCUUCGGAGGAGGAAGCGGCCCCGCGCCAGGACCGUGGCUCUCUGCGCUGCACGGCCCCCACCCCACCCGCCCAAUAAAGCCGCAGGCUGGGGCACCAAGCCAAGCAAGGUCACGCCACCCAACAGACGGGUGGGCGCUGUGGUGGCCACAAAUACCCUGUCCCUAAGCACGCGGCCUACGGCGAGCCUGUGCACUGUGGCGCUGACCAGCUGACGAUCGCUUGGAGACCCUGUGGGGCUCAGAGGGGCCCACGUUCUCCUGGGUCGGUGACGGUCCCACGGACACAUUCUCUGAGGUGGUGCCUGUGAGGCUGCGUGGGUCAGCAGACUGGUCCCCAAGCACAGGGAGCGGUGGGGGCUGCUGCCUUCGAGGUGCGGGAGCUGCGGCUCUUGCCCUGCAGCCUGGAGACGGCGCACCCCAGUCCCCCAUUACGGCUCGGAGGAGUAAUCUUUGUGAAAUUCUCACCUAGUAAACAAUUUAGGACAGUCAAAAAAAGACUAGACAAUACCUUUUUAAAAGGCACCUUAAAAAUGAAAAGCCGCCCUGGCACGUGUGGCUCAGUGGAUUGAGCGCCAGCCCGCAAACCACUGGGUCUCCAGUUCGAUUCCUGGUCAAGGCAAGUGCCUGGGUUGCAGGACAGGUCUCCAGUACGGGGUGCGUGAGAGGCAAGCACACAGUGGUGUUUCUCUCCCUCCCUUCCUGCUCUAAAAAUAAAUAAAUCUUAAAGACGAUUUUUUUAAAGCAUAAGAGUCUCGGAAGGGACAGAACCAGUGGCAGAGUGGGAGAGAAAGAAGCCUCAUGCUCAGACAGGAGAGGCUGGUGGCUGCAGCCGAGGCCAGAAGGAGCACCUUGAAUUUGGGACAUGAGCAGAAGUGAGACAUCCAGUGGCAGGGCGGCAAAACCAAGUGAGAAAAACUCCCAGAAGCUGGACCAAAAAUGGGAAGAAAAACAAAAAUUAGGCGGCUUCUUCAGAAGAUUAAAUUUCCAAAAAAGAUUCGCAGAGGAGGAACCAGAUGCAAACUGCUCAAAAGCCCCUGGGACCGAGGCUGCGAGGUCCUGCCCAGUGAGCCGACAAGCGGGCCUGCUGUUGUCCCCAGAACUCAGCAAGGGACAGGCGCCGUCCCUGUCCAGAGCCGCCUUCCUAGGAGACAGGCAGCACGGAUGCAGGGCAGCGGGGCCGGCAGAAGGGGCAGCGGGGCCUCGAGGGGAGGAGGAGGCUGAGGGAGGCUGGGGACGAGGACGGGGAAGGCUGGGUGCCUGCAGGACGCCCUAGCCGAAAGGCCGGUCAGCCUGGCGCCAGGGAGAGGUCUGGGCUGGAGGCAGGAGUGUGGGCCUUGCUGGAGCCUAAAGUCACAGAGGGGAGCAGAGCAAGCGGGUCUGAGGAGGGAGAGGCAAGCGAGGGAUGUCACCGGGGAGGACUCUGUGAAAGAAGCGUGCCAGCCUAGUUGUGGCGGUGGGGACAGUCCGAGACAAAUGCCAGCCAGGCGGGGCAGGGAUGGAUUACUGAAACCCACUAAGAAAGACCUGCCAGAUACACAGCAGAGGCACUUGGAAGCCUGGGGACAGGAGAAGAGGUUCGGUCACGGCUGCCCUUGCAGGGGCCUGCGGGAGGGAGCCGCAAACAGCACCUCCAGCCCCAGGGAGCGGCGGCCACUUGGAGGCCCCCAUGAGCAAAGAACAUCUGAUUCCCACCUGCCCUCCUCAGGAGGAACCUGGGGUCCUCCACAGAUGGAAGGGGCUCACAGAGCCCGGCGGGGGGGGGGGGCAGCCGCCAGACAACGACCCUGACAUCUUUGGACAUACUGGAGAGGGGAGGGCUUUUCAAAGCUCUGGGAGAGAGUUUGGGAGCAGCUGCGACAAAGUUAAUCAGACACAGAACAGACGGGGCAAGGAUUUUCUCCAGAAAAGACAAGAGUGUGUACCGAUUGAAGCAAAAAUGUGCACUGCGCUAGUGUAGAAGGUGAGGGGAAGUGUGCACACGCGUUACCCCAGCAGCCUGGUAGCUUCGUCUGCAAAGCUCAACACUGGAAAUAAGUCGCACGCCUGCCCACCACGGCGGUGAGUGGGCGCCAGUGCCCACAAAGACGCUCAGGGCGGGUGCACAGGGAACUGAGGCCCCCGCGCACUGCCCCAGACGCGGCCCCCAGCACACUUCUGGUGUCGGGAGCGAUGUUAUUCACAGGACAGAACCUCCCACGCCCAGGUGUGAGCAUGUGAGUGUGUGAAAGUCUGCUCAGACCCACGACGGCCAGGCAGCGCCCAGGGGAAGCCCCAGCCGACUCGGGCAGCCGCGAGCCUCCUCCACACACGUCUGCAAUGCGUCUCCCCUUGUUCUGAGCCCACGUUACUUUGAAUAUUAAAAAGAGCAGGCGUUCCUUUUUUAAGGGAAGCGAGGCAGAGAACGGCCUCACCUGCCCAGGAUGAAGGCGAUGUAGACCAGCGAGGAGAAGUGCGCAAAGAACUGCAGAGUGAAGAACUUGAUGGUGAACUUGCUCUCUCUCUCGGAGAAGGUCCUGGGUUUCUCUGGAAAAACACGAGGGCUGUCCCUCGCCUGUCCCUCACCCCAUGACAGUCCCACUCCGGGUCAGCCCUGGUUCUGACACGCAAGGACACCUGAGCCCUCACCCGUCUCCCAGGUGGGGGCACCUGCCCUCUGGUGGGAAGGGCCCGCCCCUCCCCCAUCCACUCCCCAAGUACCCCUGGGAACCAGGGAGGGGCUUGGGGCCCCUGCUCUCACCAAAGUCGCAAAGCUUCAGGGCCACAAACUUGUUGACCUGUGGGCAGGGAGACCAGAGGGCUCACUCCGGGCCCCGGGAAGACCCCCCGCUUCGCCGCCCGCCCUGCCCUGCCGACCCACCUUGGUCAUGAUGAGGAUGGUCGCAUAGUGCACCAGGGCUCCAGUCACCACCACAGCAGUGGUCACCUGAUCUUCCAGGAAGGGCAGGGCGGAGCUGCUGAAGAUGUCGGAGGCCAGGACUCGGUACACCACCAGGACGUGGGCCAUGCCGAUCAUGAGGCCGAUCUGUGGGCAGGCGGCCGGGACGGUGGGCUCGGAGGGCAGCCACCGGCCCGGAGGGCACCUGCCACGGGCUCCCCAAGAAUACCAUGAGUAGGGACAGCACCAGGAUGAUGGUGCUUCUCCAGUAGGAGUGCUGGUGCGUCCGGAGCUUGUAGUCUCGGCAGUUAAUGAGCUCGAGCGCCAGCUCUUCCUGGGGAGGCACAGACAGGGCUCAGACGCGGGACAUGGGCGGCGGCCUUGGCAGAACCACGUUUGGGCCACACAGGGCACUGGGAAGAGACAGCCCCUGCCUGGGUCGCCCGGCCCCACGCACCUGGUCCUCGUCCCACCCGUACAGGUCCCAGUGCAGGACCACGCGGGCUCGAUGCCGCUUCCAGAGCUCCAGGAACACUGUGGCUGCAGCGGGAGUGGGGAGGGGCGUCACAGGCGCACCUGGGGCCGCGGCCAGGGUGCUGGGGGCAGGAGUGGCUCUGGAGCUCGGGCUGGGCCCGCAGGUGCCCACACAAACUCACCCCACAGAGCCAUGAAGAUGGCAAACACCACAGUGCCCUCGUUGUCAAAGAGGUGGGUGAGCUGGGGAGAGGCACACGUGGGGCUGGCCAUGCCCCCCCCCACCUCCCCACCCGAUGACACCCAGCUUUGCAAGGGCCGGGACAAGCCUGGACAGGCCUCCCGCAGGGCGAGCGGGCCCGGCCUGACCCCCACGGCGGCAAACCUUAGCGAAGGUGCAGGUGUCCGAGAGGCGCUGGUACCUGCGGCGGUAGUCCCCGCGCGGGCACAUGAAGACGUGGUGGGCUUCACAGAUCUCCUUGCUGGGAGUGCAGGGACCCGCUGGGAGAAGCCGCUGAGGAAGACGAUGAGGCCGACCACCGCGGCCGGCACCAGCAUGCGACCCACAGCGUGACUGUCCGGCCUCCAGCCCCGCCCCCAGGGCAGGCGCUCGCCCCCACCACCCUGCCUCUUACCUGGUGCAAGGGAAACCUGGUCUCGAAGACCCCAUCCUCCAUCAGGUCCCCGAACGUGUCUAAGGCCACAGAGAGUCUCAGGAUGAAGUUGACGAUUCGGAUUCUGGAACACAAGGGCUGGUUCAGGAUGGCCCCCGUGUACCUCAGGGGGCCCCACCCCCUCUCUGGCCAGUUCCUCCAGGAACUGCCGCUGCUUGUGGACCGUCCUGGGGUUUCGCUGGGUGCGAUAGUCGGCCACGAGGAUGUAGUCCGGCUGGAUGCGAAUGCACUCUUCACCCUGGGGCAGGGACGGAGGUUUGUUUGGAAAUGGAGACGAAAGGCCCCUGAAAUCCGGAGGAAAAACAGCCCAAAGAUGCAGACGGGGAGCACUCACAGGAGAGGACCAGGUACUCCAGGUGCAUGGGAAGACCAGGAAACGCAGGGCAGGUGACCAGGAGGCGCCACCUUUUUUUUACCCAUUCGCUCAGACAUUUUAAGGGGCUGGCAGCACCGGAGCCAACAGCACCCCCGUGUGGUGCCCUGGGGCACACUCGGCUGCAUGAGUUUGGAGACAGUCGGUCUCCCACGGCCUGGCCUGACCCCACCUGGAGACAUGGUCAGGGCGCACAGGGGCAAACGUCACACUGCACAGUGGACGUGACCUGCAUUCCCACUGGCGGGGGAGAGGUGGAGACACUGUGCUCCCACCCCCAGGUGGCAGGUCAUGUCCCUGAAACUCGAAGGCCACGGCCUCACACGGGGCAUUGGGGACAAACCCGACAUGGCACUGUGAUCGGUGAGACUAACUCUGCUGAGGGCCUGCGGGGGCGUCCGGGACAGACACACAGACGCUGCCGUCAGCGGGCAGCGCCCCAGGAGGAAGCGGCUGUGCGCCGCCGCCACCAGCCCUGAGCCUCCUGCCUCAUUGUGCCAGCAGGUGCCCCGGUGCAGCUUCAGCCUUCCCUGAGGUGGGGGCUGCACAGUGACCGAGGGAGAAACACACCACCCCCAGGCCAUCAUGGUCCAGGUCAUGUGAUGUCACUUAGACGUGAGGGACCCUGAGGGAAUGUGCUGUGAUCAUGUGCAGUCCCCUCCCUAAAACUGGUAGUCCUGACUCAUGUCACAAGGGCUCUCUGCAGAACCGAGCUGGGGACAUGGAGGGACAGAAGGACCGUCCCAGAUGGGAGGGGGCCAAAUGCCACGCAGGACCCUGUACUGACUGGGACAGGAAAGAACCCAGUGGGGGAGCUGGUGACGUCAAGGCGGCCGUGGUGGGCUCCUUGUGUUGACCAGAGCCCUAGGCGAUGGGCAAGACUUCUGGGGAAUCAGAGCAGAGGACACCCCACUCUGUAUUACUCUCUUUUUAAAAGAUUUUAUCUAUUCAUCUUUAGAGAGGGGAAGGAAGGGAGAAAGAACGAGCGAGAAACACCACUGUGUGGCUGCCGCCCAUGUGCCCCCCACUGGGACCUGGCCCGACACCCAGGCAUGUGCCCCAGACCAGGAAUCAAGCCAGCGGCCCCUUGGUUUGCAGGCAGCACUCAGCCCACAGAGGCGCGGCAGCCGGGGCUAUUGCUCUGUUAACACUGACGGGUGUGCUGCAUCUGUGGGGGUGGGAGCAGGAGUCGGGGUGGAGCAGCUGGAGGCCCACUGACCCCAGCAAGCAGGAUCUGAGGGCUGAGACAGUGACCCGGGGCCGCUCCACUGGGGGAGCCAGGUGGCUGAGAGGUGGGGGACAGGGCAGACUCUCAGAGCAGGUCACGUGAGGGGGCCCUGGGCUGACCUGCAGGGAGAGGACCCUGGCUUUGGAGCUGAGAGCCAGGGGGCCCAACACUGUGCACCCUCGGGUGAGAUCAGCCACUUCCUCUGUCUUGUCCCUGAUGCCCCUCUGGGCUUUACGUCAGACACAAAGCAUCCCGUCCCCGCAGCAUGACCUGAGCACACUGGGAGUGGGUGUAACCAGGACCCCAGGCUGCACCCCAAGGAUACAAAGGAUCCCAGAGGGACCCGGGGCUGCGUCCACAGGAGAACCCACCUCAGGCCAACUGCUGGCGGGCCUGGGCACCUCCCGCCAUGGCCCUGACUUCUGCCCGGGCCUCCUGCCCCUGGGGUUUGCUGGCCCCUCUUCCGGCUCAUGGCCUCACACCCUACUCCAGUCGCCCAAGCCCAACGCUUUGGCCCUGCUGGUCCCCUGCCUGCUAGCUUGCCCCUUCUCCAACCACAUUUCUGCCAGACCCAAUUACGCCACUUCCAGAAAGCCCGACUGGACUGCUCCAGCCGGUCCGGCCUCUGGGACUACCAGUCACAUUUGAAUUUCAGAUACACAAAAUCCUUUUUCAUGUAGGUAUGUCCCAACUGUUACCGUGGGACAUAAUUAUACUAACAAAAAUUGUGCCCUGGCCAGUGUGGCUCACUGGAUUGAGCUCUGGCCUGCGAACUGAAGGGUCGCUGGUUCAAUUCCCGGUCAGGGUGCAGGCCUGGGUUCCGGCCGAGUCCCUGAUUGGGGGCAGGCAGGAGGCGACGUUUCUCUCCAUCUCUUGCUCCCCCCUCCCUCCCUUCUCUC